CAUGUGCGCUUAACCACGUGUGCCACCGCUCGGCUCCUCUCUGGUUCAGUCUCAUCCUGACAGUUCUCUGGAGCCGGGGAGGACGCUACGGAGCCUGCAUCCCUAUUGGAUAAAGAUGGACCCUCUUGCCUUCCAGUAAUUAUAAAUCAAGCAUGGAGGUGAGGCAGGGGCACACCUGGCUGAAGACACAUGCUAUCAUCCACCAGGAACCCAGGUUCAAGUCCCUAGUCCCUACCUGCAGGGGAGAAGCUUCUUGAGUGGUGGAGCAGAGCUGCAGAAAUAGACAGAAUCCUCAUUGCCCCUGCUGCUACUGGUCUAGACAACUUCCUGUCACCACUUAGUAGUGGACAAGAGUGUUACAUGAGCAGGGAUUUUACCUGACGGCUCUCAUCAAUGCACCUACCACGCUGGGCACAGAGCAGGGACUGAGCUCCAGCUUAUGAAUGAGUGAUGAGCGAAUGAGCUGGUAGUAAGUAAAUGAAUAUGUCAAUAAAUGUGUGAAUGUAGCCACAAAA